rnacentral:rRNA from 1 species
AAUAGAUACCCAGGUAGUCCACGCCGUAAACGAUGUCGACUUGGAGGUUGUGCCCUUGAGGCGUGGCUUCCGGAGCUAACGCGUUAAGUCGACCGCCUGGGGAGUACGGCCGCAAGGUUAAAACUCAAAUGAAUUGACGGGGGCCCGCACAAGCGGUGGAGCAUGUGGUUUAAUUCGAUGCAACGCGAAGAACCUUACCUACUCUUGACAUCCAGAGAACUUGGCAGAGAUGCCUUGGUGCCUUCGGGAACUCUGAGACAGGUGCUGCAUGGCUGUCGUCAGCUCGUGUUGUGAAAUGUUGGGUUAAGUCCCGCAACGAGCGCAACCCUUAUCCUUUGUUGCCAGCGGCCAGGCCGGGAACUCAAAGGAGACUGCCAGUGAUAAACUGGAGGAAGGUGGGGAUGACGUCAAGUCAUCAUGGCCCUUACGAGUAGGGCUACACACGUGCUACAAUGGCGCAUACAAAGNGAAGCGACCUCGCGAGAGCAAAGCGGACCUCAUAAAGUGCGUCGUAGUCCGGAUUGG